UUUUUUCUAUGAUACGGUGUAUCAUGUGGGGAGCAUGACAAAAUGCAUUCUCUACUUCCCCCGUUUCUAUGCGGCCAAGCGCAAAUGCGGGCCUCUUAAUAAAUAUAUUUUGUGAUGGAUUUUAAGACUUAAUUUUUUAGGACAUUUAAUAUCUAACAUGGAGAUCAUGAAUAUAAAUAAAUAAAUAAAUCUAAAAAUUAGAAAGAAUAAUUCUAGUAAGAAAAUAUUUGGGCCGUUAGUUUUCAUUGUUUUUAGAUCGAACACCUACUUGCAUCCAUAUUUAAGAUGGAUGCUUUACACUUUCUGGACCGUAUAUGUAGAAAUGCGG
rnacentral:lncRNA from 1 species